UCUUGGGUUGUUGGAAGGAAUCUCCCAAGAAUUCGAGUUGAAAUUUGAAGAUUUACCUAGGUAGGCCCAGUUUUCGGGUAAUUUAAGCUAGGGGUGAAGAUUGAAGAUUUUUGGGCAGUAAGAAGAAUCUGAAGCUCAAAUUUUAGGGUAAGCAAGUUAAGACAUUUAUAAACAAGUUUGAAGAAGGAAAUUUUUUGAAAUAAGUCUAGAAAAAGAGUUAUACGAGCUCAAAGUUGAAUUUGGAAAUUUUGGUUGAUUAAAUAGGCAGCUGCUUUAGUUGAGUAAGCAGGCAGCUCGACUCAGGCAGAGGUGCUGUGGAUGUGCGUGCGAGGACAAGGCGUUGCGCCAAGCAUGCGUGCAAGGGUUGCGUUGUGGGGUGCAAGGCGUUGUGGUGUGCAAAAAGACGUGCGUAGCUGUGUUGAUGAGCGAGCGUUGACGCUUAAGCAAGGUGCGCAAUGCGUGGGCUUGUGAGUGAGGUCUAGCACAAGGAGUGAGCGCUUGCUGCCGCAUCACUUAGCCAUUUGACCUAAGGAUAAACGCCAAUAGGGAAGGCCUAUCAACUCUAGGAAAGACUUCUAAACUUGUAGCGGUCAAUUCCCUAGAAGAUAACUGCACUAUUGCUCUGCCACUCAAAGCCAAGCUAGACGUUAAAGGAAGAUUAAAUGUUUAUCUUGGCUAUGUCUGUGUUAAUGUUAUGUUCAUAUUUAGGGAUUAAGGAAGAGUAUUGGGGCCCACUGAGUUUUGUUUCUGUAAAUAUGUUGCGUGUGCAUUAUGAUCGGAACCCUGGUUACUCAGGUUAA